AGAGUUUGAUCCUGGCUCAGAACGAACGUUGGCGGCGUGGAUUAGGCAUGCAAGUCGCGGGAAUGCCCGCAAGGGUGGAACCGGCGUAAGGGGCAGUAAGGCAUGGGUAACUUACCCUGGGAUUUGGCAUAGCCCGUAGAAAUACGGGGUAAUUCCAAGCGAUGUGGUGACUGGGCCUCCAGUUGUCACCAAAGCUCCGGCGUCCUGGGAGAGGCUCAUGUGGUAUUAGCUAGUUGGUGGGGUAACGGCCUACCAAGGCGAAGAUGCCUAGCGGGUGUGAGAGCAUGACCCGCGCCAUUGGCACUGAGAACUGGCCAAACACCGACGGGUGGCUGCAGUCGAGGAUCUUCGGCAAUGGGCGCAAGCCUGACCGAGCGACGCCGCGUGUGCGAUGAAGGCCUUCGGGUUGUAAAGCACUGUCGAGGGGGAGAAAAGCCGCAAGGUGUGAUCUAUCCCUGGAGGAAGCACGGGCUAAGUUCGUGCCAGCCGCCGCGGUAAUAC
rnacentral:rRNA from 1 species